UUUCUCCAAUAUUCAGCAGGACAUGCAGUGAAGACAUCCGACCGAUAGGUGGCGGAAGCUGCCGUCCUGGUUCCUCUUCCCCGCGAGGUUAACCUCUGACCCCGCGGGUUUUCCACGUGGGUCCCGUGAAGCAGAAGCAGGAAAAACGUGCAGAGAAUGGAGCAGCGACCUGCAAUGAAGAAAGUCAAGGAGAAAACGAAGAGAAAGACGAAGGACGUGGAGGAAGAAGAGCGAGAAGAACUUUUUAAUUUAAACAACAAAUCUGCUGAGAAAGCUGAAGAGAAGAAGACGAUGACCUGUCAGACAGUGAGGACAGUGAAUACUCCGGACUGGAGGAUUCUGGGAGCGACUCUGAGGAUGAAGAGGAAGUGUCAGGUGAUGUGGAGGAAGAUGAUGGAUCCGAUGAAGAUGACGAUAAACAGAACCAGCAGAUAA
rnacentral:lncRNA from 1 species